ACACGUAGGGGGCGAGCGUUGUUCGGAAUCAUUGGGCGUAAAGGGCGCGCAGGCGGCCAUGUAAGUCUGGUGUAAAAUGGUCAUGCUUAACAUGAUCAUGCGCUGGAAACUGUGUGGCUUGAGUCAACGAGGGGAUGCCGGAAUUCCAGGUGUAGGGGUGAAAUCUGUAGAUAUCUGGAAGAACACCAAUGGCGAAGGCAGGCAUCUGGCGACUGACUGACGCUGAGGCGCGAAGGUGCGGGGAGCAAACAGGUUUAGAUACCCUGGUAGUCCGCACAGUAAACGAUGUGCACCAGGUGGCGGGCAGCAGUGCUCGGUACCGAAGCAAACGCAUUAAGUGCACCGCCUGGGGAGUAUGCUCGCAAGGGUGAAACUCAAAUGAAUUGACGGGG
rnacentral:rRNA from 1 species